rnacentral:rRNA from 1 species
GACGAGGGAUCCUAGCGUUGUUCGGAAUCAUUGGGCGUAAAGCGGGUGUAGGCGGCUUUGUAAGUCAGAUGUGAAAUCCCUGGGCUUAACCCAGGACGUGCAUUUGAUACUGCAAAGCUUGAGUGUGGGAGAGGCUAGUGGAAUUCCUGGUGUAGUGGUGAAAUACGUAGAUAUCAGGAGGAACAUCGGAGGCGAAGGCGGCUAGCUGGCCCAACACUGACGCUGAGAUCCGAAAGCGUGGGGAUCAAACAGG